UGUCUGAUAGCUCAAUGGAAGAGCACUGGACUAGAAUACUGAUUACCUUGGGUUCGAAUCCCAUUCAGGUGA
rnacentral:tRNA from 1 species